GAUGAACGCUAGCUACAGGCUUAACACAUGCAAGUCGAGGGGUAACGAGAGGAAAGCUUGCUUUCCUUGUCGACGACCGGCGCACGGGUGAGUAACGCGUAUCCAACCUGCCCCCAACUAGGGAAUAACCUUGCGAAAGUAAGACUAAUACCCUAUAAUUUCCUCAGAUGUCAUCUGACGAGGAAUAAAGGUUUAUCGGUUGUGGAUGGGGAUGCGUCUGAUUAGCUUGUUGGCGGGGUAACGGCCCACCAAGGCAACGAUCAGUAGGGGUUCUGAGAGGAAGGUCCACCAAGUUGGAACUGAGACACGGUCGAAACUCCUACGGGAGGCAGCAGUGAGGAAUAUUGGUCAAUGGGCGGAAGCCUGAACCAGCCAAGUAGCGUGCAGGAUGACGGCCCUAUGGGUUGUAAACUGCUUUUAUACAGGAAUAAAGUUAGCCACGUGUGGUUAUUUGUAGGUACUGUAUGAAUAAGGACCGGCUAAUUCCGUGCCAGCCGCCACGGUAA
rnacentral:rRNA from 1 species